rnacentral:rRNA from 1 species
CACUCCUACGGGAGGCAGCAGUGGGGAAUUUUGGACAAUGGGCGAAAGCCUGAUCCAGCAAUGCCGCGUGUGUGAAGAAGGCCUUCGGGUUGUAAAGCACUUUUGUCCGGAAAGAAAUCCUUGGCUCUAAUACAGUCGGGGGAUGACGGUACCGGAAGAAUAAGCACCGGCUAACUACGUGCCAGCAGCCGCGGUAAUACGUAGGGUGCGAGCGUUAAUCGGAAUUACUGGGCGUAAAGCGUGCGCAGGCGGUUUGCUAAGACCGAUGUGAAAUCCCCGGGCUCAACCUGGGAACUGCAUUGGUGACUGGCAGGCUAGAGUAUGGCAGAGGGGGGUAGAAUUCCACGUGUAGCAGUGAAAUGCGUAGAGAUGUGGAGGAAUACCGAUGGCGAAGGCAGCCCCCUGGGCCAAUACUGACGCUCAUGCACGAAAGCGUGGGGAGCAAACAGGAUUAGAAACCCCAGUAGUCCC